GAAGGUGGCCUGUGAGGGUUGCUGGAGGUAUCAGAAGUGCGAAUGCUGACAUAAGUAACGAUAAAGCGGGUGAAAAGCCCGCUCGCCGGAAGACCAAGGGUUCCUGUCCAACGUUAAUCGGGGCAGGGUGAGUCGACCCCUAAGGCGAGGCCGAAAGGCGUAGUCGAUGGGAAACGGGUUAAUAUUCCCGUACUUGGUGUUACUGCGAA
rnacentral:rRNA from 1 species